rnacentral:snoRNA from 1 species
CCCCUCGAACAGGAGAAUCAUUUCUAUAGUAUUCGACCUUCUCUAGGUUCCCUAAAGGAGCCACAGAUCCCACCCUGGUUGAUGAGGUAUAUCCUCGACACCCUAGAGUGAAGAACUCUUGGUUGCUCUCGACCUCUCCGCAAGGAGGGCGGUACUCAGUCUAUCCGAGUGCUGUAUAGAGGGCGGUGAUGAUCUCGUCCCCGGCUGCGGUCUUGCCCUUGGGCGCGUGGUCGGGGUGGGUGUCGAUGGACGUCUGACAGGC